UUUUGGCUAACGAUUGCUUACCAUGCUUGUGAGCUUGGUUGGUGGUUCUUAGUUGAAUGGUCUCGGGAAUGUCUACCGUAAAGGUGCAUGAGUGGUUUUCGGUUUGUUACGGGUGGUUGGCUCUAUGCUUGCGCAACAACUUCCACCUGGCAUACCUCUUCAGUUUCGCGUCAAUGCUUGUAUCGCAUUGAAUGCAUGGUGGGUUUCUGUGUUGUAUGCCUAAUUGAUGGUAUCACAUGCUUAAUGGAUGUCUAUUUCGUCUAGCAUCGCUUCGGCGAUGUGAGAUGAACCUUAUAGAAAUAUUUGUGACCCAUAAUAUCGAUGCUCUUGCAUUGAUUCUUUGGCUCAUUGAGUAUUUGCUUGGUCUCAUAAAUAUGGAAACUAGUGUGGGCAUGAGAACUUUAGUAGCUCCUUGUUUGCCUUAGUUAAGCUUUUCAAAUGCGAUUUCCUAUCAUGUCUUAACAUGGUAGGCUAUAUCGAAAAUGAAUG
rnacentral:misc_RNA from 1 species